rnacentral:snRNA from 1 species
GUGCUUGCUUUGGCAGCACAUAUACUAAAAUUGGAACGAUACAGAGAUUAGCAUGGCCCCUGUGCAAGGAUGAUACGCAAAUUCAUGAAGUGUUCCAUAUUUUU